rnacentral:rRNA from 1 species
AUUGAACGCUGGCGGUAUGCUUAACACAUGCAAGUCGAACGAUGAGAAAGAGCUUGCUCUUUCGAUUAGUGGCGGACGGGUGCGUAACGCGUAGGAAUCUACCUAUUAGUGGGGGACGACUUAGGGAAACUUAAGCUAAUACCGCAUACGCCCUACGGGGGAAAGAAGGGGAUCGCAAGACCUUUUGCUAAUAGAUGAGCCUGCGUAGGGUUAGCUAGUUGGUGGGGUAAAAGCUCACCAAGGCGACGAUCCUUAACUGGUCUGAGAGAAUGAUCAGUCACACUGGAACUGAGACACGGUCCAGACUCCUACGGGAGGCAGCAGUGGGGAAUAUUGGACAAUGGGCGAAAGCCUGAUCCAGCAAUACCGCGUGUGUGAAGAAGGCCUUAGGGUUGUAAAGCACUUUCAAUUGGAAGGAAAACCUCGAAGCUAAUACCUUCGAGUUUGACAUUACCUUCAGAAGAAGCACCGGCUAACUCCGUGCCAGCCGCCGCCGUAA